rnacentral:piRNA from 2 species
AGAGGUUUUCUGGGUCUCUGUUUC